GACGAACGCUGGCGGCGUGCCUAAUACAUGCAAGUAGAACGCACAGUUUAUACCGUAGCUUGCUACACCAUAGACUGUGAGUUGCGAACGGGUGAGUAACCCGUAGGUAACCUGCCUGGUAGCGGGGGAUAACUAUUGGAAACGAUAGCUAAUACCGCAUAUUAUUGAUUAUUGCAUGAUAAUUGAUUGAAAGAUGCUAUUGCAUCACUACUAUAUGGUCCUGCGUUGUAUUAGCUAGUAGGUGAGGUAACGGCUCACCUAGGCGACGAUACAUAGCCGACCUGAGAAGGUGAUUGGCCAAACUGGGAACGGGACCAGGCACAGACUCCUUCGGGAGGGAACCGUAGGGGAACUUCGGCAAUAGGCGGAAGGCUUACCGCACAAAGCCGCGUGAGGUAAGAAGGUCUUCGGAUCGGAAAGGUCUGUUUUAAGAGAAGAAAGGGCGUGAGAGUGGAAAGUUCACACUGUGACGGUAUCUUACCAGAAAGCACCGGCUAACUACGUG
rnacentral:rRNA from 1 species